AUUGAACGCUGGCGGCAGGCCUAACACAUGCAAGUCGAACGGUAACAGGAAGAAGCUUGCUUCUUUGCUGACGAGUGGCGGACGGGUGAGUAAUGUCUGGGAAACUGCCUGAUGGAGGGGGAUAACUACUGGAAACGGUAGCUAAUACCGCAUAACGUCGCAAGACCAAAGAGGGGGACCUUCGGGCCUCUUGCCAUCGGAUGUGCCCAGAUGGGAUUAGCUAGUUGGUGGGGUAACGGCUCACCAAGGCGACGAUCCCUAGCGGGUCUGACAGGAUGACCAGCCACACUGGAACUGAGGCACGGUCCAGCCGCCUACGGGAGGCAGCAGUGGGGAAUAUUGCACAAUGGGCGCAAGCCUGAUGCAGCCAUGCCGCGUGUAUGAAGAAGGCCUUCGGGUUGUAAAGUACUUUCAGCGGGGAGGAAGGGAGUAAAGUUAAUACCUUUGCUCAUUGACGUUACCCGCAGAAGAAGCACCGGCUAACUCCGUGCCAGCAGCCGCCGUAA
rnacentral:rRNA from 1 species